CCUUCUUUUUCUUAUUUUAUUUUUUUUUAAAUUUAGAGAAUACUUUAUUAGUUUUUGUAAUCAAACCCACGUAGAUAAGACCUUACAUAUUUAAUACAGUGUGUUACCCCUGUACAAAUGGAAAAAACUUAAGUUCAACAUUUCUAGACCAAUAUGGCUGUUAAUUUCUGUACAGUGCCAACUCAACACAGUAAACGGGGAUACUUUUUUCCAAAGUUGACAGCACAGCUAAAGUUUCAAAAAAUUCAAAUUAUAUAUCUGCAUAUAUAUAUUUAUAUUUAUAUAAAAAGACCAAUAAUAGCAGUGUGUUAUACAUCAACAGCAGCAACAGCUUUUCCAGGUUCUGCAGUCAUCUGAACAAAACUGUAGAGACAUCCAGCACACUCCAUUAAA
rnacentral:lncRNA from 1 species